rnacentral:tRNA from 1 species
AAAAAUUUAGUUAAUCAAUAACAUCAAUUUGUCAAAUUGAAGUAAAUACAAAAUUAUUAAUUUUUA